GGGAUAACAUGUGCCACAGAAGAAGAUCAGAGGCUGGUGUGGGCCACUCCGUUCAUCGGGCAUCAUCUCACUCAUGGGAUCACCAGGAUAGGAUGACAUAAAAAGGGAAUCACUGGCAUCUUCAACAUCAGGACAAGCAUCCUCACCACCAGAAUCAUCACUUUCAACAUUAACUAUGCCUCAAUGAAAAGAAACGAGAGUGACCAAGCUUGCAAAUAUGUCUGGAACUUCAAGAGGGCAGUGCAGGAAACAAUCAAAUCUAGUAUUUUGAGGCAAUUCCUGAGAAGCACAUGACAUGUUUCUGAACAAUACCUCUGCUCAUCUGGAGAUACUUUCUAGAUGUCUCCCAUUGUUAAAAUGCUCUGGUUCCAGAUUUCCCUCCUCAGGAAAGUUAACCUGCCAAAAUAGUUUUUCCCAUAGUUAGAAAUAUAUAGUCAUAGAAAUAAAAAUAUUUUGAGCAAUUCUUAUGCUUCUGUAGCCACAUAUGUAAUCAUCAUCAAAGGGAUAAUGUAACUACAGUGUGCCCUGAAGAAUCACAUGCUCAAUAUUAUAGUAUAGAAAUCAGAAAUCUCUAAGAGCCACAUAUUGGCCCCAGUAUGGAUAAUUACUAGUCUUAAACUCUGCUUACUUACUGAACAAAUAUUUACUACACCUACUAUUGGCCUGGCAUUGUGCUGGAAUAUGGAGAAGAAAGGUACAUACCAGGAAGGAACCUAAUAUGAGAGACAGACAAAAAAAAUCAAGGAUGAGGAGGAUAUGAUGUGUACAGAAGAAGAAUAUGCCUAACCCAGCGUGGAGUUAUCAGAGAUGGCUUCAAAAAUGAAAAUGGGCUUGACGUAAGUCUGCAAGGGUGACCAGAAUGUAAACCAGAUAGGCGUAAUGGUGCAUAUCGUGCCAGAGAGAGGAGGUGAAGAAGAGCAUGGUGGGCUCAGGGGACCAUAAUAUAUUUGGUGUGGUUGGAGUGAGGAUGUGAGAGAGGGGAUGAGCUGGAAGUCCACAGAGAUAAUAGAUGGUGUCCCUGAAGGAUUGUCAGCAGGGAUGUGAGUUGACCAGAUUUGGAAGAAAUAUGGAGAUAGGAAGACCAUGUCUUGCUGCUGGAGACCAAGACAUGAGGAGAGAUUCAACUGGGACUUAAGAGAGAGAAGGGCUGGUUGAAAUGGCAGUUUGGAGGUAACAGUGAGGGCACUGAAUGAGCCCAAGGGCAUACCCAGAUUUAUGGUCAGGUAGAGAGCCAAUACAGGAACAAAGAAUUUUGUAUAGGGGUUGGGGCAGGCUAGAAGGGGACAUAUAUAAUACUUUCAACAAUAAAGAUUAUUUUUUUUAAAAAAAAUUUUGAACAGGAUUGAGUUAGGCAGUGAGAACGGGAUGGAGAGAUAGUAAGUGACAUGUACCAUGGGUUUAUUUUACAAAAACAAACAAAACCAUAGCUCUCCCCACAUACUGCACAAUUUAAAGGGUUCCUAUAUGGUAUGAAUAGUGUCUCCCCAAAAUCUGUGUCUACUCAGAAUGUGACCUUAUUUGGAAAUAGGAUCUUGCAGAUGUAGUUAAGAUGAGGUCAUACUGGAUCAGGGUGAGCCCUAAAUCCAAUGACUGGUAUUCUCAUGAGAAAGGAGAGAGGACACACAGAGAAGAAGCCCAUAUGGAUUCAACUGUGGAGAUUGGAGUGAUUGCCACAUGCAGGCAAUUGCCAGGGGCCAUCAGCAUCUGAGAAGGGGCAAGAAAAUGUUCUACCCUGGAGCUUUCAGAGAGAGCAUGGGUCUGCCUACACCUUGAUUUCAGACU